rnacentral:rRNA from 1 species
GACGAACGCUGGCGGCGUGCUAAACACAUGCAAGUCGAACGGUAAGGCCCUUCGGGGUACACGAGUGGCGAACGGGUGAGUAACACGUGGGUGAUCUGCCCUGCACUUCGGGAUAAGCCUGGGAAACUGGGUCUAAUACCGGAUAGGACCACUGCCUGCAUGGGUGGUGGUGGAAAGCUUUUGCGGUGUGGGAUGGGCCCGCGGCCUAUCAGCUUGUUGGUGGGGUGAUGGCCUACCAAGGCGACGACGGGUAGCCGGCCUGAGAGGGUGACCGGCCACACUGGGGCUGAGAUAAGGCCCAGACUCCUACGGGAGGCAGCAGUGGGGAAUAUUGCACAAUGGGCGCAAGCCUGAUGCAGCGACGCCGCGUGAGGGAUGACGGCCUUCGGGUUGUAAACCUCUUUCAGCACCGACGAAGCGCAAGUGACGGUAGGUGCAGAAGAAGGACCGGCCAACUACGUGCCAGCCGCCGCCGUAA